GGUGAGUAAUGCUUGGGAACUUGCCUUUAGGUGGGGGAUAACAGUUGGAAACGACUGCUAAUACCGCAUAAUGUCUACGGACCAAAGGGGGCUUCGGCUCCCGCCUUGAGAGAGGCCCAAGUGAGAUUAGCUAGUCGGUGGGGUAAAGGCCUACCAAGGCAACGAUCUCUAGCUGUUCUGAGAGGAAGAUCAGCCACACUGGGACUGAGACACGGCCCAGACUCCUACGGGAGGCAGCAGUGGGGAAUAUUGCACAAUGGGGGAAACCCUGAUGCAGCCAUGCCGCGUGUGUGAAGAAGGCCUUCGGGUUGUAAAGCACUUUCAGUUGUGAGGAAAGGUUGGUAGUUAAUACCUGCCAGCUGUGACGUUAACAACAGAAGAAGCACCGGCUAACUCCGUGCCAGCAGCCGCGGUAAUACGGAGGGUGCGAGCGUUAAUCGGAAUUACUGGGCGUAAAGCGCACGCAGGCGGCUUGUUAAGCUAGAGGUGAAAGCCCCGCGCUCAACGUGGGAACUGCCUUUAGAACUGGCAGGCUAGAGUCUUGGAGAGG
rnacentral:rRNA from 1 species